CAGACAUUGGGCAGCAGAUGAAUCUCUGAAUCAGAUUCAGCUGAAUUAAUUCAGGACAGUGAUUCAAAUCACCAAAUCAAAUCACUGUCUUCCGAAUCAGCUGAAUCUGAGUGACUACUAGCCGCUUCGCACAGGCCUAGUUUCCAGGGCUCUACUGCCUUCUCCACACUUCAGAUGCCAAAGGUGCAGAUUGCCUUGUGCUUGAGUCCUGUGCCAUGAAACAGUCACACAGCUGGCCCUACUUUCUCUCUGUUGUUCUCUCCAUCAAGACUCUACAUUGUAAGGAGGACCUUUCCUGAGAACUGUGUUGUUGCAUCAUGGUACAUUCCUGCUGACGGCACACUCUGGAAGCUGGGGAGCUUCACCCACAGAAAAGAAAGGGAGUAGAAGGCAACACAGCAGCACUUAGGAGUCAAAAUAACAACAUUUUGAGGUGCUGCUGCUGAAUCAUCUCUGUCUGGUUGGCUAUUUUCAGAGGCCAGUAACUUGCAGCCCA